GGGAUAUUGGUCAAUAGCCUAACGGCUGAACCAGCAACUUGGAGGAAUGUAUAGCAAUAGCUACUUGUAUCAUAACGAUGCAAGAUCGACUACGUCGAAUAAAAUUCUAGGUAGAAUUAUGAUAAUGACAUUGUCUGCCUAUGUGUCUUGACCAAAUUACGUGCCAGCAGUCGCGGUAAUACGUAGAAGACUAGUGUUAUUCAUGUUUAAUCGGUUUAAAGGGUACCUAGACGGUAAAUCAAGCUUACAAAUAAAAUGGAAACAGAAUUAAAGGACUAAUUUACUAGAGUUACUUAUGAGGGGGUAUUAAAGUACUGCUGGUGUAGAGAUGAAAUUCUGUCAUACCUCCCUUCGAAAGAAGAAUGAUGGCACAGGUAUAGGCGAAGGCAUCCCCUUAUGUGAUAACUGACGUUGAGGGACGAAGGCUUUGUGUAGCGAACAGGAUUAGAUACCCCAGUAGUCAAGGCAGAAAAUGAUGAAUGUCAUAGAUUAGAUAUAUAAGUUUAUUCUAUAAAUGAAAGUGUAAGCAUUCCACCUCAUGAGUAAUUUGGCAACAUUGGAACUGAAAUCAUUAGACCGUUUCUGAAACCAGUAGUGAAGUAUGUUGUUUAAUUUGAUGAUCCGCAAAAAACCUUACCACAAUUUGAAUAUUUAUAUCUUUUAUUGUUUUUUUCUGAUUUUUACAAUAAGAAGAAGAGGCAGUAAGAUAUAUUUACAAGCGUUGCACGGCUGUCUUCAGUUAAUGUCGCGAGACUUUGGUUAGUUCCAUUAAAUUA
rnacentral:rRNA from 1 species